AGUGUUUGAGUUCAGGUUUGUGCAGCGCUGGAAGAACAGGAAAACAAGUCUGGUCUCUGGCUCAGUCUCCUCCCACCCAUGAGAGACCCCUGAGCUAAAGUAAACUGUGCUGUGAAAGCUCGUAUGACAACACCUGAUCGGACUGUGUUUUCUGAUGAACCAAAGGAUGGAGACUCUCCUCCAAGUACUCAUAGGAAUAUUAGAGUUGCAAGUGGCCUGGGUCAGUAGCCAAGAACUGGAGCAGAGUCCACAUUCCCUGAUCAUCCAAGAGGGAGAAGACUUCACCAUAAACUGCAGUUCAUCAAAGACUUUCUAUACCCUGGGCUGGUACAGGCAAAAAAAUGGUGAAGGUCUAAGCUCCUUGAUGAUGUUACAGAAAAGUGGGGAAGAAAAGAGUCAUGAAAAAAUUACUGCUAAGUUGGAUGAGAAAAAGCAGCAAACUUCCCUGCAUAUCACAGCCUCCCAGCCCAGCCACUCAGGCAUCUAUCUCUGUGCAGGAGAUACACUGUGAUCUCCAGACCUGUGCAGGCUGUCCCCAAACAUGCAGCUGGGCCACAGAUGCUCUGUUGACACAGGGCUCCAAAAGGGUGACUGAACACUUGCCAAGAUGAGAAGCCUUAGGAAGAUGCCGUAGUCUCAUUGCAAAACAAAAACAAAA